AUCACCUGAGUCUCCUUGGAGGGAAAACACCAGGUGAAGCUGUGAGGAGAGCUUUGCGAACUGUUGCCACAAAUAAUGUGUGGCGACAGUUUAGCAUGAAAGGUCGUAAGGGAAAAAUAAAAUUUGAAGACAUGGAGAUCUGCAGCAUGAUAAUUCAGGCUUGCCGAGUGAUCCAUCCAAAGGUGGCAUCCAAUUUUGAAGAGUGUAUUGGGGACACUUUAAAAUAUGCACCUCACAGGGGAUCAAGGGUGGAGAAUGCAGAGACGCCUUAAAUAUUACCUCCUGACUUAUAUUACCUAUUUGUUUACCCCUCCAAUUUUCCAUUCAUUCAUAUAAAUUAGACUUUUUUCUCUCCCAAUUUUCCAUUUAAUCAUUUAAAUUAAUUGCUUUAUUAUAAUAAUAAUAACAAAAUAAUAUAAUAAUAAUAUUGGCACCAGGUGGCGCAGUGGGAUAUUCCGCUAGCACACCAGCGCUGAGUUUCUGAACUCCUCGCUUCAAAACCCGGCACUGCCACCGGCCGGCUGGGUGCCAUCUAGCAGGCAUAAUUGGCAGUGCCUGCAGAAGAUACUAAUUGGCCAUCAUAUCUGCAGGGUGGGGGCCGGACUAUGUGUGGGUGGGAAUUUCAUACGCUGUGUAAGGACCCUGAGUGGCGGAAGAGACGCCUGUGCAGAAUGCAGGGGCGAGAAGAGGAGGGCUGCGCACGUGUCAGAAGAGGCGUGUACAACAACGUGCUCUCCUCAGAUGCAAUCGGGUAUCCCUCAGCAGCGGAAGACAAAUUGACUGUGCUAAAUUGGGAGAAAAAUGGGGAGAAAAUUCAGGAAAAAAAAUAUAUAUAUUAACAACAACAACAUAUAAUAAAUACAACCCAAAAUCAGGAAAAGUUGGGACAGCAUGGAAAAUGCAACUAAAAAAACACAGAUUUUCCUACAUUUACUUU